AGAGUUUGAUUAUGGCUCAAGAUGAACGCUAGCUACAGGCUUAACACAUGCAAGUCGAGGGGAAACGAUAUAGAAAGCUUGCUUUCUUUAGGCGUCGACCGGCGAAUGGGUGAGUAACGCGUAUCCAACCUGCCCCUGAGUAAGGGAUAGCCUAUCGAAAGAUGGAUUAAUACCUUAUGGUUUCCUUUGAAGGCAUCGGAUUAGGAAUAAAGAUUUAUCGCUGAGGGAUGGGGAUGCGUCUGAUUAGCUUGUUGGCGGGGUAACGGCCCACCAAGGCGACGAUCAGUAGGGGUUCUGAGAGGAAGGUCCCCCACAUUGGUACUGAGACACGGACCAAACUCCUACGGGAGGCAGCAGUGAGGAAUAUUGGUCAAUGGGCGCAAGCCUGAACCAGCCAAGUAGCGUGCAGGAUGACUGCCCUAUGGGUUGUAAACUGCUUUUAUACGGGGAUAAAGUCAGAGUCGUGACUCUGUUUGCAGGUACCGUAUGAAUAAGGACCGGCUAAUUCCGUGCCAGCCGCCGC
rnacentral:rRNA from 1 species